rnacentral:lncRNA from 13 species
GUGUGCUCUUGUCAGUACAUUGCCAUGUUUUAUUCAUUUCAGGGAAACGCCAACCUCCAGUCCACCAACCAGGGACACACAAACCUUCACUCCAUCACGAAUGACCACACCAGUCCAUUCAAAAUUUUAGACUCCCUCAGCUCCUCAGCCAAGCGUAUGAUGCAACAAGCACAAGGUGUUGUAAAGAAAAUAUCUCCUGAGAGACCAGAUGACCUGCAAUGUAGAAGGAAACUUUUAGAGAGUGACGAGAACUGAGGGACUACCAUACUGCCUCACACACAUCUGUGUGGUUCGGAGACCGUUUCUAUCCAUGGGCAUUGUGGGUACUGAAUAGUGGACUGAAUGGCUGACACACACAGGCCUGCUGGUUAUUGUAUAUCUAAAUACAGUCUGUAUGUAAAUAUAUUUUGUAGUUGGUUAAUGAUGAAAGAUGAUAAAUCCACACUAGACUUGUUUGUGGUUUUAUUCUUCACUUAUUUAUAAAUCAAGUGUUUAUAUUAUAACCUACACAAUGUCAUAAUGUCGACUACUUUCAUGGUGUGUGUGUUUUUGUGUGUGGUUUUCUUUCUUCACUCUUUAUAAAUCAAAUGCUUUAUGAUACACAAUGUUGUAAUGUCCUUUGUUGUGGGUGUGUGUUUGUUUUCUACUUUUAUCAAUACAAUUUUAAACAACGUUGUAGUGUAUGUCGUGACAUCAGCUUGUUAUACAAUGUGUCAUAAAUCUGCUGCUGGGAAUGCUUAAAAAAUGAAUUGUCUUUGAUUCUUCUGCCACUCAAGAGACCAACCGAAGUUACAAACAAGUGCCACUAGGUGUCACACAAAUAUCAUUUUAGGGAGAGACGUCGUAGAGAAACGGGUUUGAUAUUGACUGAUGUCUCAUGAAGAGGCAAAACGCAUCACAUCCUGGUCUGUUCACUUUAAAGACUUUUGAAACAUGGAUGUGAUAGUCAGUAUACCAGAUUGUUUUACCCGAUACAGAGGACAUAAGUAAGUCUCACUAACUCCUUGGUCAUGUUAGCUGACGGAUAGUAUCUCUUAGAACAAAACGUAAAAGAUCUCCGAAGCCUGGGUUAACCUCUGACCUUAUUUUCAGCGUUUAUUCCAAAACCCUAUUCUUUCUCCAUUAUUUUUCCCCACUGGAAGGGCUGAACGAACUA